rnacentral:lncRNA from 1 species
UUGAGAAUGAAAACCUUGCCAUCCUUAGUCCCCUCAUUGUCUCCGCUAUGAACCGCCUACCGAAAAUCGCCUCCACCGGCGGCGAUGAUCCAAUCAACCCAGUUUUACACCACAGACGCUCCUUCACCUCCCCGUCCUAAAUCUCUACUCCAUCUUCUUCGAAUCAGACCCCAACACUUUGAAUCUUGAAUAAAAACUUCGGUUAUAAAACCAUAAUCGCUCCAAACCUCCCCAAAUUUCUACCAGUUAUCCCUUGUUCCUUUCCCUUUCCAAAUACCAAAGCCAAAUCCUUCGAUAUCCCUUCAAGCCACUCCAAUAUCGGAUCUGAGAGCAUACAAAACCUAGGUUACAUGAUUUAGGAUUCUUCAGAAGAGGAUUUAAGUCGGCAAGGUGUUUGCUGUGUGUUCUUAAUAAAGAACAUUUGGCUAACACCUAUUGCAUUUUUAAAUCAAAAGUGACACAUAGUGCUGAGCCAACUGUAUUUUCAUUUUUUUAGCGAAAGGUACGAUUUCAUGAUUGUCCUCUUCGUUUCUUUUUCCUUUUCUUUGAUCUCAUGUUCUUCUUCAUCUUCUUCUCUGUGUCACUUUCUAUGUUUUCCAUUUUCUGUGAUGGUUCAGUAUGAUUC